GCCCAGGUGGCGAAAUUGGUAGACGCGCUAGCUUGAGGGGCUAGUGGGAGCUUAAUCCCGUGGAAGUUCGAGUCUUCUCCUGGGCACCA
rnacentral:tRNA from 1 species